AUGUCUGUCGCCUUCGGACAAUCGGUAUUUAGUGGUUCGAUUGAGAUUUGGACGAUAUUUUACUGGAAGGCUCUUCGUAAAGAUAUUUUUACGAAGAUUACUUUUCGUAAAAACGUUUAUACUGAUUUUUACGGACUUUCAGGCAUUGAUUCCGUCGUGACCGAUUUUGACCCCAACAAGUGUUUGAGAAUACUAAGGAACUCAACGCCGGUAAACUUGGCGCCAGGUGGGAGGGACCUUACAAAAUCAUCAAAGUCAUAAAGCCUGGUGUAUACCGACUCCAAACGUCGCGCGGCGAAGAAGUCCCACGAUCAUGGAACUCAAUGCACCUACGACGCUUCUACCCGUAGGAGUAUUUCCGCUUCAGGAAAAAAAAAAAAAAAACGAGUAGAUGCACCCCCGUGGUCACUUCUACCCAACCGAGUAAAUGCGCUAACAACGGCCACUUUUACUCGGGAAAACACGAACUACGAAUGGCUUGAUCCUCAACCGAGGUACGUAGGCAGCCUUAACAGGUCCAACUAUACAAAACCAAAGUUAAAACCUUGUUUAGACCUCAAUCGAGUAAAUAAUGAUUCUCAUACCCAACGGCUCCCAAUCCUCCAGCAGAGGACACGCGGACGCUCACGUUCCUUUGUCUAUAGCUAUGUCCUGAUCAGACACUUGGCCUAAGGACCAUAAGGUCGCGAGUCACCUAUGCCCAAGAGCAUUGACCGCCCAAACAGAGUUAAUCUUCGCCUUUUCUCGACUAACGCGUAACGGAUUAGCUACCCGGUUACUCGAUCGUCACUAAGAAAACGGACGAAAGAACCUUCCACUCUUAGAUUCAGUUCCUUGUUUUCGAAAUUUGAAUACUCGCCUACUCGUGACCUCAAAUCAAGAAUACAACAAGACCUGAACGAACCCCUUUUAGCGGUUUUGUAUAACAGGUCGAGCUAUACAAAACCAAAGUUAAAACCUUGUUUAUACCUCAAUCGAGUAAAUAAUGAUUCUCAUACCCAACGGCUCCCAAUCCUCCAGCAGAGGACACGCGGACGCUCACGUUCCUUUGUCUAUAGCUAUGUCCUGAUCAGACACUUGGCCUAAGGACCAUACGGUCGCGAGUCACCUACGCCCAAGAGCGUUGACCGGCCAAACAGAGUGAAUCUUCGCCUUUUCUCGACUAACGCGUAAUGGAUUAGCUACCCGGUUACUCGAUCGUCACUAAGAAAACGGACGAAAGAACCUUCCACUCUUAGAUUCAGUUCCUUGUUUUCGAA
rnacentral:lncRNA from 1 species